rnacentral:rRNA from 1 species
CCCUUAGAUGUUCUGGGCCGCACGCGCGCUACACUGUCCGACGCAGCGAGUCUUAACCUUGACCGAAAGGUUUGGGUAAUCUUCAGCAAAGUCGAACGUGAUGGGGAUCGAUCAUUGCAAUUAUUGAUCGUGAACGAGGAAUUCCUAGUAAGUGCAAGUCAUCAGCUUGCGCUGAUUACGUCCCUGCCCUCUGUACACACCGCCCGUCGCUACUACCGAUUGAAUGGUUUAGUGAGAUCUCUGGAUUGACGCUGGCUAGGGGGCGACCCUUGGCCAGGCUGUCGAGAAACUGCUCAAACUUGAUCAUUUAGAGGAAGUAAAAGUCGUAACA